rnacentral:tRNA from 1 species
GAGGGUAUAGCUCAGUGAUAGAGUGUGUGCUUAGCGUGCGCAGGGUCCUGGGUUCAAUCCUUGGUACCGCCA